UCACACAUCUUACCCUAAAUAUCUUCAAUAGCAAUCGAAAACAAUCAGGAACCAGGUAAGUGUUCUUGAUUAUGUCUAAUGGAGGUCUAAACAAGCCAAGGGAGUUGUCAAAUCUGACGUUUCACAGUGUGCUUUCAAUUAAGUAUUAUACACAGGGAUUAGAAAUUGGGUGCUUAUCCCCCUAUCAAUCGUCAUGGUUUUCAUCGGAAUCCUCCGUUACUAACCAGGUUAUAAUUAGGGCUUGAAACCUUCAAGUGGCUGUUGGUUUUAUUUUGUUUAAGGCUUUUCGGGCUCGGAAAUUGUAUUAUACGAAUAAUGCGAGGCGAGGCUCAACCAAACUGUCUUGAGUGCAGCAAGGCGCACAUGCUCACUAAAUCGGGAAACCUCUAUAUGAAGAUGUAGAAAGACCUCAUGUUUGGCUCUACAGAGAAGCCAAUACGUAUAUGAAGGCAAG